rnacentral:lncRNA from 1 species
UGAGCCUCACAUAACCAGGAUUGAAGUGCAGAGGACUGCUUCCCUCGCCCAAGACAAGGAGGGGCAAUCUUCGGAAGGGGUUUUGGGGCCCUGGGUUUCACAGACAGGGGUACGAAUCGAGCACUGUGGGAGGCUCUGAGAGUGUAACUUGGGUCUAGCCCACUGGCACCGGCAGCCAUGGCGAGCACUCUGGACCUGGACAAGGGUUGCACCGUGGAGGAGCUGCUCCGUGGCUGUAUCGAAGCCUUUGAUGACUCUGGAAAGGUGCGAGAUCCACAGCUAGUGCGCAUGUUUCUCAUGAUGCACCCCUGGUACAUACCUUCCUCUCAGCUGGCUUCGAAACUGCUCCACUUCUAUCAGCAAUCCCGGAAGGACAACUCCAAUUCCCUACAGGUGAAAACCUGUCACCUGGUCAGGUACUGGGUCUCAGCCUUCCCAGCAGAGUUCGACUUGAACCCAGAGCUGGCUGAACAGAUCAAGGAGCUGAAGGCUCUGUUAGACCAAGAAGGAAACCGCAGGCACAGCAGCCUCAUCGACAUCGAGAGUGUGUGCGUGGGGGCGGAGCUCAGGGGGCACUACGCAUGCUACACCAUAUGUGCUUAAUAAAUGUCUGUUCAAUUGAA